rnacentral:rRNA from 1 species
ACUCCUGCGGGAGGCAGCAGUGGGGAAUUUUGGACAAUGGGCGAAAGCCUGAUCCAGCAAUGCCGCGUGAGUGAAGAAGGCCUUCGGGUUGUAAAGCUCUUUUGUCAGGGAAGAAACGGUGAAAGCUAAUAUCUUUUGCUAAUGACGGUACCUGAAGAAUAAGCACCGGCUAACUACGUGCCAGCAGCCGCGGUAAUACGUAGGGUGCAAGCGUUAAUCGGAAUUACUGGGCGUAAAGCGUGCGCAGGCGGUUUUGUAAGUCUGAUGUGAAAUCCCCGGGCUCAACCUGGGAAUUGCAUUGGAGACUGCAAGGCUAGAAUCUGGCAGAGGGGGGUAGAAUUCCACGUGUAGCAGUGAAAUGCGUAGAUAUGUGGAGGAACACCGAUGGCGAAGGCAGCCCCCUGGGUCAAGAUUGACGCUCAUGCACGAAAGCGUGGGGAGCAAACAGGAUUAGAUACCCGUGUAGUCCCAUGAU